rnacentral:lncRNA from 1 species
GAAUCGACUGGUUCGACUACAAGAAGCAGCUGAAGAGGGGAGAUCAAUGGAAUGUGGAGGUCUACUAACCGCUGAAUUUUGCAGCUGACAUUUUGUGUUGUGCCUAUCUGUAAGUGAGGCCAGGGUGUACUGCGUAUAUAAUGUAGAUAGUGAGUGUGUUCUGAGUUUUUUUUUACUAUUGCCGUCUCUGUUUAUAGAUUUGUAUAAGUACUCUUAAUGUUAUGCCUAUUCGAUUUUUUAUAUGAGUAAUGUGAUCAAGUGCCCAAGAAUUUAUGUUCCCACAUUAUUUUUUGAAUUGC